UCUCCACUUCAUUCCUCCUCGUAGAGAUGCAGCCUCCCGCAGGGCCCUGCAGGCAGCCAUCCAGCAGUUGGCUGAGGCCCAGCCAGAAGCCACUGCUAGGAACCUUCUGCACUCUCUGCAGUCUUCAGGCAUUGGCUCCAAAGCUGGUGUCCCCAGUAAGAGUAGCGGCUCUGCUGCCUUGCUGGCCCUGUCCUGGACCUGCUUACUGGUGCGCAUUGUCUUUCCCUCGAGAGCCAAGCGGCAAGGAGACAUCUGGAACAAACUGGUGGAGGUGCAGUGCCUACUCCUGUUGGAGGUGCUGGGUGGCUCCCACAGGCACGCCGUGGAUGGAGCCGUGAAGAAGCUCAGCAAGCUGUGGAAAGAGAACCCCGGGCUGGUGGAACAGUACUUGUCAGCCGUUCUCAGCCUAGAAC
rnacentral:lncRNA from 1 species